CCUACGGGGGGCUGCAGUGGGGAAUAUUGGACAAUGGGGGCAACCCUGAUCCAGCCAUGCCGCGUGUGUGAAGAAGGCCCUCGGGUUGUAAAGCACUUUCAGUGAGGAAGAACGCCUGGUGGUUAAUACCCAUCAGGAAAGACAUCACUCACAGAAGAAGCACCGGCUAACUCCGUGCCAGCAGCCGCGGUAAUACGGAGGGUGCGAGCGUUAAUCGGAAUUACUGGGCGUAAAGCGCGCGUAGGUGGCUUGAUAAGCCGGUUGUGAAAGCCCCGGGCUCAACCUGGGAACGGCAUCCGGAACUGUCAAGCUAGAGUGCAGGAGAGGAAGGUAGAAUUCCCGGUGUAGCGGUGAAGUGCGUAGAGAGCGGGAGGAAUACCAGUGGCGAAGGCGGCCUUCUGGACUGACACUGACACUGAGGUGCGAAAGCGUGGGUAGCAAACAGGAUUAGAUACCCGUGCAGUC
rnacentral:rRNA from 1 species